AGAGUUUGAUCCUGCUCAGGAUGAACGCUGGCGGCGUGCCUAACACAUGCAAGUCGAACGGACAUAAUUUGAAACCUAGUGAGAAUUAUGUUAGUGGCGGACGGGUGAGUAACGCGUGGGUAACCUGCCCCAUACCGGGGGAUACCAGCCGGAAACGGCUGCUAAUACCGCAUAAGCGCACAGCUUUGCAUGAAGCAGUGUGAAAAACUCCGGUGGUAUGGGAUGGACCCGCGUCCGAUUAGCCAGUUGGCGGGGUAGAGGCCCACCAAAGCGACGAUCGGUAGCCGGCCUGAGAGGGCGGACGGCCACAUUGGGACUGAGACACGGCCCAAACUCCUACGGGAGGCAGCAGUGGGGAAUAUUGCACAAUGGGGGGAACCCUGAUGCAGCGACGCCGCGUGAGUGAAGAAGUCAUUCGUGAUGUAAAGCUCUAUCAGCAGGGAAGAAAAUGACGGUACCUGACUAAGAAGCCCCGGCUAACUACGGG
rnacentral:rRNA from 1 species